rnacentral:misc_RNA from 1 species
UACGAAGGGUGCUAGCGUUGUUCGGAAUCACUGGGCGUAAAGCGCGCGUAGGCGGUGACACAAGUCAGGGGUGAAAUCCCGGAGCUCAACUCCGGAAUUGCCUUUGAAACUAGGUUGCUAGAGUGUCGGAGGGGAUAGCGGAAUUGCUAAUGUAGAGGUGAAAUUCGUAGAUAUUAGCAGGAACACCGGUGGCGAAGGCGGCUAUCUGGACGACAACUGACGCUGAGGCGCGAAAGCGUGGGGAUCAAACAGG